rnacentral:rRNA from 1 species
UACGAAGGGAGCUAGCGUUGUUCGGAAUCACUGGGCGUAAAGCGCACGUAGGCGGAUGUGUCAGUCAGGGGUGAAAUCCCGGAGCUCAACUUCGGAACUGCCUUUGAUACAGCACGUCUUGAGUCCGGAAGAGGUGGGUGGAAUUCCUAGUGUAGAGGUGAAAUUCGUAGAUAUUAGGAAGAACACCGGUGGCGAAGGCGGCGCUCUGGACCGAGACUGACGCUGAGGCGCGAAAGCGUGGGGAGCAAACAGG